UACGAAGGGGGCUAGCGUUGCUCGGAAUUACUGGGCGUAAAGCGCACGUAGGCGGUUUUUUAAGUCAGAUGUGAAAGCCCCGGGCUCAACCUGGGAAUUGCAUUUGAAACUGGGAAACUAGAGUGUGUGAGAGGGGGGUAGAAUUCCAAGUGUAGCGGUGAAAUGCGUAGAGAUUUGGAGGAAUACCAGUGGCGAAGGCGGCCCCCUGGCACAACACUGACGCUCAGGUGCGAAAGCGUGGGGAGCAAACAGG
rnacentral:rRNA from 1 species